GGUGAACGCUGGCGGCGUGCUUAAGACAUGCAAGUCGAACGCAGUCUUCGGACUGAGUGGCGCACGGGUGAGUAACACGUAACUGACCUACCCCCAAGUCGCGGAUAACUGGCCGAAAGGUCAGCUAAUACGUGAUGUGAUGUCCCAUUUCUGGGGGGCCAUUACAGGUUUACUGCUUGGGGAUGGGGUUGCGUUCCAGCAGCUAGUUGGGGGGGUAAAGGCCCACGAAGGCAAGGACGGAUAGCGGGCCUGAGAGGGUGGCCGGCCACAGGGGCACUGAGACACGGGUCCCACUCCUACGGGAGGCAGCAGUUAGGAAUCUUCCACAAUGGGCGAAAGCCUGAUGGAGCGACGCCGCGUGAGGGAUGAAGGUUCUCGGAUCGUAAACCUCUGAAUCAGGGACGAAAGACGCGUAAGCGGGAUGACGGUACCUGAGUAAUAGCACCGGCUAACUCCGUGCCAGCCGCCGCGGUAAAAC
rnacentral:rRNA from 1 species